GUAGUCUGUAGAUCAGACGUAGAUACAAGUGCUAAUUUUCUUUGUUGGGAGAUAAUGUGUAUUUAAAAGGCUCUAUAAUUGGAAGAUAGUAAGGGAAAAUAGUAAGAGGAAAGAGCGAAGAACAUGUUACAUAUAGUAAGAAUAUAUAGUAUUUCGUCAAAUUUCAGAAACACGAUAUUAAAAAAAAAACGAAUCAGUAGAUGCAUUAUUCACACAUUAUUCGAAGAACAAUGUGCUGCUCGUGUGUUUCUGCAAUUGUUACGGCGGAAUCGCGAGGUUCGUGGAAAAUGCACAAUGCGAAUCGGCGAGCGCUCGAGUGGCACGGCCUGCGACCGGGCAACAACGAAAUAUAAAUUGUUAAUGUGGACUGGUUAUUGUCGAGUUAAUUUUAAUCACGUUUUAUGCCAACGCCGCUCCCGGUUACCCGGCUUUGUAUAUUCAUGAUUGACUAUCGUCUCGUUGCUUAAUUCCCCGCCGGGGCAUUACGCUCGUAGGAGGUGAACGAGAAGCAAAUUUGCCCACGACGCUCCUUUUCAGACCGAUACACGCUACAUCGUUCUACUUUACACUCUCUUCUACCUCCUAUUUUUCUUAGAAUCGUUUCUUUCACGCGCGAGACAGACAAACGAUUCCUCAUUCUCGUCCGCGGAAAAGACAAAUUUUUUUCACCAAUGCAUGCAGAUCGGUCAACGUUAUACAUAUAUGUGUCCUUUUCCUUCGUUCAGCUUCCAUCAGAUUUACAAACGGCAUCCGUUAUCAUCCUUUUGUUUUCUUUCUUGAGAAUAAAUUCGGUUCUCCGUGAUCGAAUUCCUUCCACGCGUCAAGACUUUCGGUUAUAAUUCGAACAUUGAACAGUAACGCGAAGUGGUAUUUAACAAAUGUUAUGAAAUUAAUUGUGAUUUAAUUAAAAUAUAGUAGACUUAUAUAAAAAUAUGGAAAAAGUAACAAUGGUUAAAUAAGCUGGCGUGGCGCAGUAAAUAAACGAUCGGUUAGCAAAAAGCUGGAUUAACAACUGUGCUUACUUUGUAGAGAUAUCAAAGGUACCUAAUAAGACGUAUAACACUCUAAUAUUUUAUGAAAACAUGAUACCGGUUUCGCUCCUUAAAUAUAAAACAAUGCGAAGAAAGCUAUAUACAUAUAUACAUAUUUAAUACAACAGAAGCAAAAUUCGUAAACUACAACAGACAUAAAUUUCAUCGACAUACGUAUGCCGUAAGACUAAGCAGAUAUGUAACUAGGUACUUUGUAUUGUAUUGUGACUAAGUGAUUGCGUAUUUUAAAUAAGAAGGAAAAUUCCAAAUUGUUGCUUCAAAAUAUAACUUUAUUCAAUUAAUUAUUGUCCGUUUUUGUCGAUGACCUUUUACCAUCUAUCAGGCAGUGCCAUAAUUUCAUGUUCAUAAAACUUCUGAUUUUUGCCUGAAUUAAAUGUGCCAAGACCACCUACUGACAAAAUCCGCAAUCUACAGAAUAAAUCUGGACAAUCCACGACAGUAGAACAGUCGUAGAGUGUAACAUUUAUAGGAAUUUGUAUGGGCCUGAGUAAGAGUACUAACCGAGAGGAAAAGUCUUGCCAGAUAUUACGAGAUGCAAAAAUAGUUUUGGUCGUAACGAAAGUAAGGAGGAUUUCUAAGAAUUAAAGAUCUCGAUCUCCCUCGUGGGAGGUUUUAAUGAACUUUGACUUCAGAACGCGCCCUCGACGAAGUUAUCGCACCCGCUGCGUUUCUCUCCCUGUCGAGACCGAACUAGAUAGCCGCGUUAGCAGGCCAAGCCGAUUCCAGACUAAACAAAAACCAUCUGGUUAAAUUUUUUCCCUCGCGUGAUGAUCAACGAGACGCUGAAACGAUUCUGGUCGCGUCCUCCUCGCUUCUAUUAUAACUGGCAGCAAAUGAUAAUAAGCUUCUCGGUUUAAAGUCAAGCAUCCGUGGACAGCGAAAGGAAAACAUCUCGAGGAAGAUCGUGUGUACAACUCUGCGUACGAAGA